rnacentral:rRNA from 1 species
CCUACGGGUGGCAGCAGUGGGGAAUAUUGCACAAUGGGGGAAACCCUGAUGCAGCGACGCCGCGUGAGUGAAGAAGUACUUCGUUAUGUAAAGCUCUAUCAGCAGGGAAGAAAAUGACGGUACCUGAGUAAGCAGCCCCGGCUAACUACGUGCCAGCAGCCGCGGGCAUACGUAGGGGGCAAGCGUUAUCCGGAUUUACUGGGUGUAAAGGGAGCGUAGACGGCGUUGCAAGUCUGGAGGGAAAGGCGGGGGCUCAACCCCCGGACUGCCCUGGAAACUGUACGGCUGGAGUGCAGGAGAGGUAAGUGGAAUUCCUAGUGUAGCGGUGAAAUGCGUAGAUAUUAGGAAGAACACCAGUGGCGAAGGCAGCUUACUGGACUGUAACUGACGUUGAGGCACGAAAGCGUGGGGAGCGAACAGGAUUAGAUACCCCUGUAGUC